rnacentral:rRNA from 1 species
UAGGGAAUCCUCCACAAUGGGCGCAAGCCUGAUGGAGCAACACCGCGUGAGUGAAGAAGGGUUUCGGCUCGUAAAGCUCUGUUGUUAAAGAAGAACACGUAUGAGAGUAACUGUUCAUACGUUGACGGUAUUUAACCAGAAAGUCACGGCUAACUACGUGCAAG